rnacentral:rRNA from 1 species
UACGUAGGGACCAAGCGUUGUUCGGAUUUACUGGGCGUAAAGGGCGCGUAGGCGGCAAUUCAAGUCAUCUGUGAAAUCUCCGGGCUUAACCCGGAACGGUCAGGUGAUACUGUUUUGCUAGAGUGCGGAAGGGGCAAUCGGGAAUUCUUGGUGUAGCGGUGAAAUGCGUAGAUAUCAAGAGGAACACCUGAGGUGAAGACGGGUUGCUGGGCCGACACUGACGCUGACAGCGCGAAAGCCAGGGGAGCAAACGGG